UGGAGAAUGUCAGCGAGAAAACAGCUUGACCUUGGACUCGUUCUGCUAUGGCAACAAAUAGUCUAGGUGACUUCCUUAUCUGUUUUGUUCUCUGCAGAUGAAAUGCCAAUGCUCACUGCAUGACGAGGGAAUGAAGUCUUUGCUUUCACUAGAGGCAGGGGACUUGGAGAACAACAUAGGGGAGAUAGAGAAGAUGAAGCAAUCGUCUCAUUGGGUAACAGAGUCAAUAUCCGCAUCAGGGCUCAAGGGGUUCACACUAGCCCCUUGGAGGAGAGAAUUGGUAACAGUCCUUGUUGGAAUAGACAGAUUCCAGGGGAAGAGAAGGAUCAGCUCUGGACACUGGAGGAUUCUGACUCAGGCCAUGCAGCAAUAAGAAGGAACUGGAGAAGCAGUCAGUUCACCCUGCCACUUACACUGUCGGUGCAGCACAGGAGAGCAGGGGCACAGAUGCAGACAAAUGGACCCCACUUGCAAGAACUCUCCAGUCUCAGGUGCAUGGAGCGCAUGGUUACCCACAGGGGAAUACACACAGAGACCCGCACCCAAAGAAGAAACAAAACAUUUCUAUAGAUCUGUACUGUGAAAUGAAGCUCUCAUUGUUAUUGACAUACAAGAUUCUGAGGCACAUCAGCAACAGGAAAUAGAGCGUCUCUGUAAUGCAGAUCAGACACAGAAGGCAAUUUUGAGAACCAGGAAUGGGAGCAAAAGCUCAAAUGAGUUCUCAGAAAAUAAGGGGAUGAAAAGGUUGGAGGUGGCUGUAUUUCAGCUGCUAUCAUGGAACAUAAACCUAGAAAGGUACUUUUUGGUUACUACAUUUUCAACCCAUCCUUGAUUCACAUGGAUUGAGAAGUUCAGCAAAACAAUUUCCCCCCAUUUUGACAUCUUAAUUUAGAUGCAGAUAGAUAAGACAUAGAGAUGCUGAUAAGAUCAAAAAGGGAAAUCAUUUGCCAAUUGUUCCUGACAUGAGCAGUCAAAUCCAUGUUUGUGGUACAGUUAGAUAUGAAUUUUUUUUAAGCAAAGUGGGAAAGAGUUCAUGGUCUGCUCUCAUUUUAUACUGGGGCUUUCAGCAUGCCCAUCUUUAGAGGUACCAGUAUCUAUUCUAACUAUUGACAAAGAAACACCUACAUACAACAUAAAAUGAACUAGAUUUAAAAAAUAGCUAUUUUUACAUUUUAUAUCAGAUCUGGAACCAAAAACCAUAAGGGCCAGUUUAGAUCUGAGGAUCUGAAUCUAAUGAACACACCAAUCCUGAAACUGAGGAGGGAAUGGAUUAGUGGUCCUAGUUUGAGUCUACCUAUAGUUAGAACAUUUGGUCCAUUUUCUUAGUUCCCUGAGGUUUGUGUAUUUCAUGUAUUUUACUGUAUGCUGCAUUGAUGACACUCUUAAAGCCAUUGCUAUUUUGGAUUCUGAAAAUGUUUAAAAUAGUUUCACUGUUCCUUAAGAGUAAGGUAGUCAGAUAUAUACUGUGAUGCUGGCAGACCAGGCUAUAGGCCUGAGCCGAGCACUUACAAAAUCAUUGCUGGAAACCAGUUUCUUUUACUUAUGUGUUAGUAUGGUUAAGAUGGGUAUUGGAUUUAUAACAAUGUGUUUACACUUUAUGAAAUGGUUGUAAAUUGCUGCCUGCAUUAAUCUCAAAUUAUAUUUUUAUCACCUGCUGUAAGGUAAUAUUUAAGUUUUUGCUUUCUAACUGUAAAAAAAGGUGUGCUCUGAAACUGUGAACCCAGUCAGGAGGGAUUCUCCUGCCCACCAAGAAGGCCAAUCAAAACUAA